AUAAGUUUCAAAAGUUUAAAUGCGUUCCGGUGUAAAUUUUAUAAUUUCUAAAAGAGUUUUUCUUUCAAAAUAAAACUUCUUUUUUAUCAUUUUUAUUUCUCGCAUAUAACUAUAAGAUGGACAAAUGGUAAAUUGAGUUGUGAGUUGAAAGAAUUUUUAAGGGAUUAACUUUGACUGGCGUGUACAUAUCUUCUUGAAAGGCUUAUUUCAAAGAAUAAGACAAUGAUCACAAUUCCCGUUUAUUAUGGUAUUAUAAUCGCUGUUUUCUUACGCCAAGCUUUUGCUAACACUAUCUGUAACAACACUUACACUAACGGGAUAGGAAUACAGUGUUUUCCUUGUAAACCUGGUUACACAGCAAUAGACGACUGUCCCGGAAAUUUCACUCGUGCUUAAUGUGAGGCGUGUCAGGAUGGGACAUAUCAACCAGGAUGAGUUACUUUCAACGCAAACUGUCAAUUAUAGAAACUGUACAGAAUACUAUACAGAAUACUGUACAGAAUACUGUACAAUAUACAAAGAUGAUA